rnacentral:rRNA from 1 species
UUUAAAAUUGAGAGUUUGAUCCUGGCUCAGGACGAACGCUGGCGGCGUGCUUAACACAUGCAAGUCGAGCGAUGAAGCUUUCUUCGGGAAGUGGAUUAGCGGCGGACGGGUGAGUAACACGUGGGUAACCUGCCUCAAAGUGGGGGAUAGCCUUCCGAAAGGAAGAUUAAUACCGCAUAACAUAAGAGAAUCGCAUGAUUUUCUUAUCAAAGAUUUAUUGCUUUGAGAUGGACCCGCGGCGCAUUAGCUAGUUGGUAAGGUAACGGCUUACCAAGGCAACGAUGCGUAGCCGACCUGAGAGGGUGAUCGGCCACAUUGGAACUGAGACACGGUCCAGACUCCUACGGGAGGCAGCAGUGGGGAAUAUUGCGCAAUGGGGGAAACCCUGACGCAGCAACGCCGCGUGGGUGAUGAAGGUCUUCGGAUUGUAAAGCCCUGUUUUCUGGGACGAUAAUGACGGUACCAGAGGAGGAAGCCACG